rnacentral:rRNA from 1 species
GACGAACCGUGCGAACGUUGUUCGGAAUCACUGGGCUUAAAGGGCGCGUAGGCGGCCUGUCAAGUCGGGUGUGAAAUCCCUCGGCUCAACCGAGGAACCGCACUCGAUACUGUCGGGCUAGAGUCCGGGAGGGGAUGGUGGAAUUCCCAGUGUAGCGGUGAAAUGCGUAGAUAUUGGGAAGAACACCGGUGGCGAAGGCGGCCAUCUGGACCGGAACUGACGCUGAGGCGCGAAAGCUAGGGGAGCGAAUGGG